UAAAACAGAAAGAAACAAGAAUUAUAUUAAUUUUACUGUUAUGCUUUGAAAUGAUGACAGGAUAUUGCAAUUGCUGGUCAGUCACUGUGCCUCUAUUAGAAACUUCACUCUGUUGCACUAAACGGAGCUGAAUUUGAAAACAGGAUGGUUUUGGUAUCUCUUUAAGGCGCUGCUCAGGCUCCGAUUUCAUAUGCCUUCAAAAUUUAUGUACUCGUUAACUUCAGUAGCUAAGCAAAAAUCCAAAUAACAAUAAAGCAAACAUUCUUUUAUAAGAUGAACAUGGACUCUCUCUUACACUGUUAAUCUCUUAAAACCAUUACUUCUUUAUUUCUAAUAUUGUUUAUUUAGGACAAAAUUCUACUGCCAGAGGCAUGAAUGCUUAUCUACAAAAUGUGACUUAAGCUAGACUCGUUAUGGUUUGAAAUCUUAAACAGGUAUUGUUUUGGGAUUGUUCCAUGUUCCAUCAUAUUCACACACUUAUGUUGUUUCUGUUAGAGGAGAUGUCAUGUGGCCUAAAAGAGAGAUUUGCAAUAUAAAACAGCUCUCAUUCAAUUUCUGCUCCCUGAAAAAUGUGCAAAAUUAAGUCAGUGUCAAAAGGACAAAGUACUGUGGCCCCCAGAUGCAGUAACAUUUACUGCUGCUUUCUCUAACACGGACUAGAAGGGUGACACACAUCCAUAUGCACAUAGCAUAAUUCUUUAAAAAAGUCAGCGUGAACAACUGUAACAGAAAAUACAAGAAUAAGAAACAACUUCACCUGCAAUGAUGCUCAGAGAUUUAAAGGAGGAAAAUAUAUUUCAUUUUGGUUUAGAUCAAUAUUCUGAAAACUAUCUUAAUAUGGAUAUAUUCCAAGACUUAGGUGAAAAAAUAAUUUGGUAGGAGCAUAAUGUACUCAGAUCGGGUGCAAUAUAGUGGCCAAGUUCAGCGGCUGUUACAGUGCUGUAGGACAGUCCACAUGCAAUCCCUCAGUGGUCUCACUCUGGGCAGUGGUGGCAAUGUGCCCAGGUCAUACAUUCAGCAUCCCCAAUAAUGCUGCUUGCUUAUUGACACUCUCAGCCAGCCAGCAAAGGACAUAUUUCUCAAGAUAAUGCAAGCAACUUCUUGGGUAGUGCCUGGUUUCACAUUAGAAACUCAGCACACAUGAGGGCAAGGGUAGAUUUUGACCCCACUGCUGCCUCCACAUCUCCAGGUCAGGGGCAUGUAGGUGUACAACUGCACCCAUCCUCACAUCCUCUCCUGGAUCUAAGCCCAAGGAUCUGGAUUUGAAGUUUUUGACUUUGUUGCCAGUAAAAACUGAAGAACCAUGCUCAUGAAGAAGGAGCUGAUGACAACAGGAAACAACUGAGAUCGACUGUGCCUCAUCACUUGUGUUGCAUGUGCACUGCCAGCACUCCCCAGAACACCCGGAGGUAUUUCUGAUUUCACUGGUUUGAGCAACAAAACCCCUGAACCUUGACCUAAGUCUUGGCAAAUAUGUAAAGACCAUCUGUGCUAUAUGAAGGUUUGUAUCCUCAAGACAGCCGUAAUUCACAUUGAUGCCAUGACACAAGCUACAAUCAACAGUACCAGAAAGGUUAUGUCAGCAUCGAGGUCACCUGCCUUAACUAUAACCAUCUGAAGAAGAUUCAGAAGAUCAUUACAGUUGCCAACAUUUAUUAAACAACUUCAUGGGUACUGUAACACCACUGCACUUGUACUGAGAAACCAGAUCUGGAAGGAAAGACAAGGAUAUUUUCCCACUGAAUGAUAAAGAUGGUUUAUUUCCAUAAGCCAAAUAAAUUUUUCAGGAAACAUAAACUAAAAAAAUUAUUGAUGUAGAACAGUUUUUAUCGCAUCAGCUGUAGAACUCCACUGGGAAAAACGGAAAGGAGAAGCCCUUAGGCCACAUUUUGUGUGACCUAAUUCUUUCAACGGUAUGUUUCUGCAAAUUUUUAGGAAGUGACAGCACAAAAGAACAACAGUUCCCAUCACGAUGUUUUCAUGGAAUCUCUGCAUAACCUCCAAACACCAGACUUUGCACCAACACUACAGUACAUAGUUUUGUUGUAGAGUUUAAUUACUUUUGGAUGUAAAUGAGCAGAAAAAUAAUUAUCACACAACCAGCAGAAGAAACUGUUAUGCUUCUAUAAAUUUCUGGUAUCCUACUGCUGUGAUUGUCAAUUUAAUACUUCAGUCUAUAUGCUGCUGCCAGUUAAUGAUUAGUCUACUACAUUUUGGUGAAAUUGCUCUCCAGUCAAGGGAAAUGAAGUAAAAAGAUGAGGGGAGAAAAGAAACUAAUAUUGUUAAAGUCUAAUUAGAGCAGCAGGGCCAGUGCUGGACUUAGCUGUGAUGAGGUUGUCUUUCUGUUAAAUUCGAUACAUUGAAUUCAGUGAGAGCAAGAUCAAAUGCCAUGAUUUGAUUUUCGUGGGUGAAGUGUUAAUAGGAGUGUGGGUUAACUUUUUUCUCAUGUUGUGAAAUUGUUUUUUAUAUUAAUGUAAAGCAGAACACAUUCAUUCUUGUCUCUGAGAGUAUAUUUCUAAAAUGUUCUCAUUUACUUUCAGAAGGAUUAGCACGACACAAUUAAUUUUGAAGCAAAUCACAUUCCUUUCAUAAAGAAAAAAAUUUGUUCUUUUGACUUCAGCAUCAUCAGCAAUAUUCACCAGAACUUUUUAACAGUUUAACAGUUCAACACUUUAACAGUUUCCUAUGUCAAACAACCAUUUCUUGCUUAUAUGGUUUUAAUUCAUGCUGGUUUGUUUUUAAAUGAGUACUUGCAGCAAGUGGAUAUACUUUCAUUUAGCAGCUUAAGUUUUUAAUUUAACAACUUAAGACCACAUUUUAACGAUAGUUGAUAAAAACAUAAUAGUUAAAAAAUAAUGCUUUAAGAAUGUAAUUGGAUUUUAUCUGAAAAGAAAGAAAAUGUAUACCCUGAUAUGAAACUCUGUUUGUCUCCCCUACAACACCCAGAAAUAAUAUUUCACAUAUUAAUGGCCAUUCACAACAGCUUUACUAGCCAUAUAUUCUGAAACGCUUCUGGAUCCAUGACAUGUGAACUCACACUUGGUACAAUAACUGUUUAUAAUAAAACCUAUCUGAAUGCCCAUAAAUAUAUAUUGUGGAGAAAGUUUCCAUCCCUCAAAUAAGAAUUUUAAUACAGAAAGAUCCAAAACAUAUAUAAUUUAGAUAAGGUAGAAUGGCAUUUAAAAUGAAAAAGGUCAGAUGGAUUUAAUACACAUUUUUCACUUUAAAUUGUGCACAGAGUAUAUUUGUAGACCUUUGAAGCUGAUGGGAAAUGUGAGUGUUUAUUCAGCUGGAACUUUAAGUAUUUUUAUAUACAAUCAUAUGUUCCCUGAAAUAGUUUAAAGUAACUACUACAAAUAAAUACUGGGAUAUUGUACACACUUCUCAAGUAUUCCAUAAAGCAGAUUAAAAAUGCAAUAUGGACAUCAAUUUCUUAAUGUUUCAUAGUACCUAUUCAAUAGUAAAAAGCAUCAAUAGAGUUUUGUAUUUGAUUUUCUAAAAGAAUCACAGUCUCCCCCAUUCCUUAAUUAGUCCAUGAAUACAGGGAAAAUGCAUAUGAUGCCUGUAGAAUUAUCUUUUCCGUUUAAUUCUGCUGUUCUGAGUACUUUAAAAAAAAUAUCUUUAAAUAAACAUCCUUAAUAUAAACAUCUAUAUUGGCAGGAAUAUUUUCAUUGGGGAAUAACAGUGAGAGUCCAUAAUCUCUGAUGUCAAUAGUUCCAUCAUGCGGUUUAUUUACCUUUAAUGUGUGUAACAUUCUCAGCUUUCACCUUCCCUAGUGUUUCACAGACAUCAGCUCUUAUAAUAGAGCAAUUGUACAAAUUCAGAUUCCAUCAAGACAGAAAAUGACCAGAGAAGAAGAGAAUACUCUGUUAAAUUUUACUACAGUGAUCAUCUUCCAACAUAUCACCUUAUACUGCGGGAUCCUCAAGCUAAUUAGGCCAUCAAAGCAGUCCAUUUGGAUCACUUGGCAUUCAGUCAGAGAAUGGUGAAAUCAGUCAUGGAUGACGGAUUAGUUCACAAUUUUGGAAAAGGCCUUUUUCCACCUGAGACCGACUAUAAAGCUGUACCCUAGCCAGCUGUACUAAGAUUAGGCCAUGGCUUUUUCAUUGCAAACUACCUGAAUGAAUUACUGAUGUUUACAUUACUUUGAUGUAAGUCCAACAAACUCUGAUUAUUGGUAUCCUUUAAACUCACCCGGCCAAAGAUACAGUCUCUACCCUAAAUGUGAAAUGUUUUUCCCCUGUACCGCAGGGUACAUUUCUCUGUGAGGAGACUGUCAUCCUCAGUUGCUCUCUUUUGUGUUAGUCAUGAAUCUAUCAAUCUGAAAAACAAAGCUCAUGGGAGCAGAAUAUAGGUUAAUUCAAUAAACAGAACAAAAGAUUUCAGUUUUGCUGUCAGAGGAUAUUAGAUUGACCACAAUUCUCUCAGCUCUCAGAACAAAGCUGAAAACUCACUUCAAAUUAGUAUCCUCAUAGUCACUAUACAAAGCAGCUAAGAAGCAGAAAAUAGGACAUGGAUCAAGGUGGAAAAGGUGAGGUUAAGAAUAAAUGAGAUUGCUGAGCUAUUGUGAGUCUAAUUAGUUUUUGGAAAAUACUCAAAUCCUAUGAUAGGUAACAUUAAAAAAGUCUUAUUUAUAUGAGAAGGUGAGAAAUACUUCACCAUGGAAAAGUAUUUAAGGUUGGGAAAUGUUGGUUUAAUAGAAAAUAAGAUAGGAGGGGGAUUUUGUUUUGUUUGUUUACAUUUAAAUAAUCACAUUAAGUAAUAAAUGUUUUGUGGCUGUUACUAUAAUCACAAUUGAUUACUUACUAGCAAUGGUUUCUGAAAAGGAAAAUGUUUUACGUUAAGAAAAUGUGCUAUUUAAAAUGCAUGUGUAUAGUACUUUGUAUUUGUAAUAAGAUAUGGAUUAUAACUGUG